ACUAAAUGAAGUGAGUGUCUUGCGGGUUCUCCAAAACAGCAAUUUUUCUAGCAGAUCUUCCUUCAUUUAAAAUGGAAGACUUCUUGUAUACAUCAGCUCCAGGGUCAGAUAGUUGGAAAUAUGUGCAAGAUAUCAAGACCCCAGUUGCCUCUUGGAGAGUUUUGCUGCUGAUGAUUUCUUUUUAACAGACCAUCUGUCUCAUCCCGUAUUCUAGAGCAUUCUUCCUCACUCCUUGUCAUGUUUCCAACAGAAAACCCACAGAAAUACCUACAGCAGGAAAGGAUACAACUUUUUUGUUCUUCAAGGUUUGAAAACUUGGAGUUCCCAAGUUUCAAUCUACUCUGAUGUGCACUUCUUCUGCUCAAUAAAGCAUGGAGACUCAGAGGAAAUAAAACCUUGCAAUGUGACUAAAUAGUGACACAAGACAAAUGAGACUCUACAUUUCAAAAAGUUGUUUCAGGUAC